GGUGGCUCAGUGGUAGAGCUCUUGCCUUGCAUGCAUGAGGCACUGGGUUCGAUUCCUCAGCACCA
rfam:Dipodomys ordii contig_3028, whole genome shotgun sequence.